rnacentral:rRNA from 1 species
GAGUUUGAUCCUGGCUCAGAUUGAACGCUGGCGGCAGGCCUAACACAUGCAAGUCGAGCGGUAGAGAGAAGCUUGCUUCUCUUGAGAGCGGCGGACGGGUGAGUAAUGCCUAGGAAUCUGCCUGGUAGUGGGGGAUAACGCUCGGAAACGGACGCUAAUACCGCAUACGUCCUACGGGAGAAAGCAGGGGACCUUCGGGCCUUGCGCUAUCAGAUGAGCCUAGGUCGGAUUAGCUAGUUGGUGGGGUAAUGGCUUACCAAGGCGACGAUCCGUAACUGGUCUGAGAGGAUGAUCAGUCACACUGGAACUGAGACACGGUCCAGACUCCUACGGGAGGCAGCAGUGGGGAAUAUUGGACAAUGGGCGAAAGCCUGAUCCAGCCAUGCCGCGUGUGUGAAGAAGGUCUUCGGAUUGUAAAGCACUUUAAGUUGGGAGGA